GUAAAAGUCAUCUAAAAUUCAAAAGAUUACUCCAGCAAAUAAAACAAAGAUAAAAACUUUCGUCUGGAGUCAGUAUAGUUUAGAUGUAACUAACUAUCCGAAGGUUAUUUGUAACAACUGCCACAAAACCUCUAUGAUCUCGACAAGAACAAAGUGGAGUACCUAGGGAACUGGAUAGAAAAGAUAAAAUUCAUAUUGAUAGAUUGCAUCUUAGAAGAUUACCAAAUAUCAAUGACAUUGUUGAUGAAAUUAAUGCUUCUAAUGAUUCUGAAUGCGCCUCCAGACUAUGUUCAACAUGCUUUGGUUUUGUAGUGCAAGGAGUAGUUCAUAUCUGUACAGAGAGUGAGCAAAGCUGUUGACAAUCUGAUUGUAGCAGCAGAACAGCUUGGACCUAAAUAUUCAGAACAAGUAGCC